AGGAAGUAAAAGUCGUAACAAGGUCUCCGUAGGUGAACCUGCGGAGGGAUCAUUACUGAGUGAGGGCCUUCGGGCUCGACCUCCAACCCUUUGUGAACACAACUUGUUGCUUCGGGGGCGACCCUGCCGUUUCGACGGCGAGCGCCCCCGGAGACCUUCAAACACUGCAUCUUUGCGUCGGAGUUUAAGUAAAUUAAACAAAACUUUCAACAACGGAUCUCUUGGUUCUGGCAUCGAUGAAGAACGCAGCGAAAUGCGAUAAGUAAUGUGAGUUGCAGAAUUCAGUGAAUCAUCGAAUCUUUGAACGCACAUUGCGCCCUUUGGUAUUCCGAAGGGCAUGCCUGUUCGAGCGUCAUUUCACCACUCAAGCCUGGCUCGGUAUUGGGCGCCGCGGUCAAUCCGCGCGCCUCAAAGUCUCCGGCUGAGCUGUCCGUCUCUAAGCGUUGUGAUUUCAUUAAUCGCUUCGGAGUGCGGGCGGCCGCGGCCGUUAAAUCUUUCACAAGGUUGACCUCGGAUCAGGUAGGGAUACCCGCUGAACUUAAGCAUAUC
rnacentral:rRNA from 1 species